CUAAACAAGAAAGGGUGAAUUCUGGAGAUUGGUCCUUCUUAAUCCAAAGACGAUUUUUUCCUUAUUUUCUAAUGCGCAUUAACACCUCAAUAAACAUCACCUUUUCCACCCCAACUCUUGCUCCUCCAUUCCUUCAAAACCCACAACUUGAACCCCACCACCGAGUUGGAUUUUUGGCCUCACCAUUGUUGGAUCUCUAGUGGACCAAUAUUUCUGAUCCCUAGCUCCACUGUUAUGGUCUUUUGACCAUUUUCUCAUUUAGAACUCAAAGGAACGAUGUCCGACCACCAAAUUCCCCAAAAUCUUGCAUUGGUUGGAAGUGAAAGUAGGGGAACUGUGGAAUUAACAAGAGUUUGAAAAAGAACAUUGUAGAUUUUGUAUUUUGAGAUUAUUAUUUUUUUGUAAGAUAUUUAGUUAUUUUAAUGAUGUGAUUUGUAAUUAUUGAUUGUUGUUAUGAAAAUCUUGCAAGUUGUUCAAGAUAUUAUUGCCUCUGUAGAAGAGCUGACUCAAUCUUUUGUCAAGGAAGGUUUCAAGGAAUAUGGAUGUUGAACUAAGGAUGGGAGAAAACGUGACUUAAUGCAAGUUGUUCAACAUCAAGAAGAUGUCCUUAUUAAGGUGGUUUGAUUCAAUAAAAGUGGAUUAUAUGUACAAACCCUUUUCACACACCACGAACUGUGAAGGUGUGCAAAACGUUCAUCUCAGGUCAACACUUAAUACUAUAUUGGUUAACAUUUAAUUUUUCCA